rnacentral:misc_RNA from 1 species
AACGGUCUAUACCUGCGGUACCUGCGGAGGGAUCAUUAAUGAGAAACUGCCCCUCGCGGGUAGAUCUCCCACCCUUUGUAAACUUACCUUUGUUGCUUUGGCAGGCCCGUCUCCGGACCGCCGGCUUCGGCUGGCCAGUGCCUGCCAGAGGAUUCUAAAACUCUGUCUGUCAGUGUUGUCUGAGUCUAUAUACAAUCGUUAAAACUUUUAACAACGGAUCUCUAGAUCGGAAGAGCACAC